rnacentral:rRNA from 1 species
GACGAACGCUGGCGGCGUGCUUAACACAUGCAAGUCGAACGGAAAGGCCCUGCUUUUGUGGGGUGCUCGAGUGGCGAACGGGUGAGUAACACGUGAGUAACCUGCCCUUGACUUUGGGAUAACUUCAGGAAACUGGGGCUAAUACCGGAUAGGAGCUCCCGCUGCAUGGUGGGGGUGGGAAAGUUUCGGCGGUUGGGGAUGGACUCGCGGCUUAUCAGCUUGUUGGUGGGGUAGUGGCUUACCAAGGCUUUGACGGGUAGCCGGCCUGAGAGGGUGACCGGCCACAUUGGGACUGAGAUACGGCCCAGACUCCUACGGGAGGCAGCAGUGGGGAAUAUUGCACAAUGGGCGGAAGCCUGAUGCAGCAACGCCGCGUGCGGGAUGACGGCCUUCGGGUUGUAAACCGCUUUCGCCUGUGACGAAGCGUGAGUGACGGUAAUGGGUAAAGAAGCACCGGCUAACUACGUG